AGAUUGAACGCUGGCGGCAGGCCUAACACAUGCAAGUCGAGCGGUAGAGAGGUGCUUGCACCUCUUGAGAGCGGCGGACGGGUGAGUAAUGCCUAGGAAUCUGCCUAGUGGUGGGGGAUAACGUUCGGAAACGGACGCUAAUACCGCAUACGUCCUACGGGAGAAAGCGGGGGACCUUCGGGCCUCGCGCCAUUAGAUGAGCCUAGGUCGGAUUAGCUAGUUGGUGAGGUAAUGGCUCACCGAAGGCGACGAUCCGUAACUGGUCCUGAGAGGAUGAUCAGUCCACACGUGGAACUGACGACACGGUCCAGACCUCCGUACGGGAGCAGCGAGGUGGGAAUGUUGGAACAAGUGGGACGAAAGCCUAGACU
rnacentral:rRNA from 1 species